UCAAAUGCAGUGAUGGAGAAAAAAGUUUUCUAAAGGCAAGUUAUAGAGAGUCGACGAGGGUGGAAGUCGGUACUGCCAGGAAAAUACACUCACUCCAGAGCAGAUUUUCUGAAAAUGUAGGAAGAUACGUGUGCCCCGUUAAAGGCUUAGAGUUUAUCAGAACUUGAACUGAGAGAUUUCAGUGUGCUUUGCAUACCGGAAUAAACAGAGUGGUACCGCGGGACAUAUCCCGCCUCUGAC
rnacentral:ncRNA from 1 species